AUGGCGGGGACGACCCAGCUGGAGGCCGGCGGCAGCGACGGCGAGUACACGCAGGACGGCACCACAGACCUCCACGGCAACCCCAUCCUCCGCUCAAAGCGAGGAGGCUGGAGAGCCUGCGCCUUCGUCGUAGUGUACGAGGUGUUCGAGCGGAUGGCCUACUACGGCAUCUCGUCCAACCUGGUGCUGUACCUGACGACGGAGCUGCACCAGGGCACGGUGCUGUCCGCCAACAACGUCACCAACUGGGUGGGCACAAUCUGGAUGACGCCCGUCAUCGGCGCCUACAUCGCCGACGCCCACCUCGGCCGCUACCGCACCUUCAUGGUCGCCUCCAUCAUAUACCUCCUCGGGAUGAUCCUGCUGACCAUGGCCGUGUCGCUGCCGUCGCUGAAGCCGGCGAAAUGCGGCCUCGGCACGGCGGACGCCAACUGCGACCACAAGGCCACGAGCGUGCAGCUGGGCGUCUUCUUCCUGGCCCUCUACAUCCUUGCCGUCGGCACGGGCGGCACCAAGCCCAACAUCUCCACUAUCGGCGCCGACCAGUUCGACGAGCACGAGCCGCGGGAGCGCAAGCAGAAGCUCUCCUUCUUCAACUGGUGGAUGUUCAGCAUCUUCUUCGGCACGCUCUUCGCCAACACCGUCCUCGUGUACAUCCAGGACAGGAUCGGCUGGACCGUCGGCUACGCGCUCCCCACCGCCGGCCUCGCCGUCUCCAUCGCCGUCUUCAGCGCCGGGACGCCCUUCUACCGCCACAAGCCAACCUCCGAGAGCUCCUUCGCCAAGAUGGCCGGCGUCAUCGUCGCUGCCGUCCGCAAGUGCGGCGUCCCCGCGCCCGUGGACCCGCGCGACCUGCACGAGCUCGAUCCCAACCAAUACGAGAAAAAGAAGACGUCGCCGUUGCCGCACACGCCCAAUUUCAGCGUGCUGAGCAAAGCGGCUGUGAAGAUCGAGGGGAGCAGGAGCGCGUCACGGUGGUCGUUGAGCACGGUGACCCAGGUGGAGGAGACGAAGCAGAUGCUCAAGAUGCUGCCGGUGCUACUCAUCACGUUCGUUCCGAGCGCGAUGCUGGCGCAGAUCAACACGCUGUUCGUGAAGCAGGGCACGACGCUGGAGCGGCGCCUUCACCACUUCGAGAUCCCGCCGGCCAGCCUGCAGGGGUUCGUGACCAUCUCCAUGCUCGUCUCCGUGGUGCUCUACGACCGCCUCUUCGUGCCCUUCAUGCGGCGGCUGACCAAGAACCCGCGCGGCAUCUCGCUGCUCCAGCGCAUGGGCGUCGGACUCGUCUUCCACAUCGUGAUCAUGGUGAUCGCGUCGGUGACGGAGCGGCACCGGCUGAGCGUGGCGAUGGCGAACGGCAUAUUCGAGAGCAAGGGCACGACCAUCCCGCUCUCCAUCUUCGUGCUGCUCCCGCAGUUCGUGCUCAUGGGCGUGGCCGACGCGUUCCUGGAGGUCGCCAAGAUCGAGUUCUUCUACGACCAGGCGCCCGAGGGCAUGAAGAGCCUCGGCACCUCCUACUCCAUGACCAGCCUCGGCAUCGGCAACUUCCUCAGCAGCUUCCUGCUGUCGACGGUGUCGCGCGUCACGCGGCGGCACGGGCAGGGAGGGUGGAUCCAGAACAACCUCAACGCCUCCCGGCUGGACCACUACUACGCCUUCUUCGCGGUCCUCAACUGCGUCAACCUCCUUGUCUUCUUCGCCGUGUGCCGGAUGUACGUGUACAACGCCGAGGUCACCCACGUUGUUGAUGGUGGCGGCGGGGAGAAACAGAGGCCGGAGGUGGCGAUGCAGCCACCUGCUCACGCAGGCGCAGUAGAAGUUCAUCCUUGA
rnacentral:rRNA from 1 species